AUUGAACGCUGACAGCAGGCCUAACACAUGCAAGUCGAGCGAGCGGCGGACGGGUGAGUAAUGUAUUGGGAUCUGCCCGUUGGAGGGGGUUAACUACUGGAAACGUUGGAUAAUACCGCAUACCAUCGGAUGAACCCAUAUGGGAUUAGCUAGUAGGUGGGGUAAAGGCUCACCUAGGCGACGAUCUCUAGCUGGUGUGAGAGGAUGAUUAGCCGAACUGGGAGUGUGACAGGGCCCAGGGGCCUACGGGAGCCGGCAGUAGGGCAUAUGGCAGAAGGAGCGCAGAACAGAGGAAGCCAGGCCGCGAGUAUGAACAAGGCAUUAUGGUUGUAAGGUACAGUCAGUGGGAAGGCGUUACCAGCAGAAGAAGCGCCGGCUAACUCCGUGCCAGCAGCCGCGGUAAUAC
rnacentral:rRNA from 1 species